rnacentral:rRNA from 1 species
ACCUCUGCAAUAGGCGAAAGCCUGACAGGGUUACUCUGAGUGAUUUCCGUUAAGGAGAUCUUUUGGCACCUCUAAAAAUGGUGCAGAAUAAGGGGUGGGCAAGUCUGGUGUCAGCCGCCGCGGUAAUACCAGCACCCCGAGUGGUCGGGACGUUUAUUGGGCCUAAAGCAUCCGUAGCCGGUUCUACAAGUCUUCCGUUAAAUCCACCUGCUUAACAGAUGGGCUGCGGAAGAUACUAUGGAGCUAGGAGGCGGGAGAGGCAAGCGGUACUCGAUGGGUAGGGGUAAAAUCCGUUGAUCCAUUGAAGACCACCAGUGGCGAAGGCGGCUUGCCAGAACGCGCUCGACGGUGAGGGAUGAAAGCUGGGGGAGCAAACCGGAUUAGAUACCCGGGUAGUCCCAGCUGUAAACGAUGCAGACUCGGUGAUGAGUUGGCUUUAUGCCAACUCAGUGCCGCAGGGAAGCCGUUAAGUUUGCCGCCUGGGGAGUACGGUCGCAAGACUGAAACUUAA